rnacentral:rRNA from 1 species
UACAGAGGUCUCAAGCGUUGUUCGGAUUCAUUGGGCGUAAAGGGUGCGUAGGCGGUCGGGUAAGUCUGAUGUGAAAUCUCACAGCUUAACUGUGAAACUGCAUUGGAUACUAUUCGGCUUGAGAGUUGGAGGGGGGACUGGAAUUCUUGGUGUAGCAGUGAAAUGCGUAGAUAUCAAGAGGAACACCAGUGGCGAAGGCGAGUCCCUGGACAACUUCUGACGCUGAGGCGCGAAAGCUAGGGGAGCAAACAGG